UUUUGGAGGAAAGCAGGGGAUCGCAAGACCUUGCGCUUUUGGAGCGGCCGAUGUCUGAUUAGCUAGUUGGUGAGGUAAAGGCUUACCAAGGCUUCGAUCAGUAGCUGGUCUGAGAGGACGACCAGCCACACUGGGACUGAGACACGGCCCAGACUCCUACGGGAGGCAGCAGUGGGGAAUUUUGGACAAUGGGGGAAACCCUGAUCCAGCCAUGCCGCGUGAGUGAAGAAGGCCUUCGGGUUGUAAAGCUCUUUCAGCCGGAACGAAAAGGUUACGGUUAAUACCCGUGACUAAUGACGGUACCGGAAGAAGAAGCACCGGCUAACUACGUGCCAGCAGCCGCGGUAAUACGUAGGGUGCGAGCGUUAAUCGGAAUUACUGGGCGUAAAGCGUGCGCAGGCGGNUUUGUAAGUCAGA
rnacentral:rRNA from 1 species